rnacentral:rRNA from 1 species
UACGUAGGGUGCGAGCGUUGUCCGGAAUCAUUGGGCGUAAAGCGCGUGUAGGCGGUUCAGUAAGUCUGCUGUGAAAGUCCAGGGCUCAACCCUGGGAUGCCGGUGGAUACUGCUGGGCUAGAGUACGGAAGAGGCGAGUGGAAUUCCCGGUGUAGCGGUGAAAUGCGCAGAUAUCGGGAGGAACACCAAUUGCGAAGGCAGCUCGCUGGGACGUUACUGACGCUGAGACGCGAAAGCGUGGGGAGCAAACAGG